UCUGAGAGGAUGACCAGCCACACUGGAACUGAGACACGGUCCAGACUCCUACGGGAGGCAGCAGUGGGGAAUAUUGCACAAUGGGCGCAAGCCUGAUGCAGCCAUGCCGCGUGUAUGAAGAAGGCCUUCGGGUUGUAAAGUACUUUCAGCGGGGAGGAAGGUGUUGAGGUUAAUAACCUCAGCAAUUGACGUUACCCGCAGAAGAAGCACCGGCUAACUCCGUGCCAGCAGCCGCGGUAAUACGGAGGGUGCAAGCGUUAAUCGGAA
rnacentral:rRNA from 1 species